rnacentral:tRNA from 1 species
GGUCCUAUGGUCUAGUGGUCAUGACUCUGGUCUUUGAAUCCAGCAACCCCAGUUCGAAUCCGGGUAGGACCG